rnacentral:sRNA from 1 species
UAAAAUGGAGGAACCCGACAGC